AUACGGAGGAUCCGAGCGUUAUCCGGAUUUAUUGGGUUUAAAGGGUGCGCAGGCGGGAGAUUAAGUCGGCGGUGAAAUUUUGCAGCUCAACUGUAAAAAUGCCUUCGAAACUGGUUUCCUUGAGUGUAGAUGAAGUAGGCGGAAUUUGUGGGGUAGCGGUGAAAUGCAUAGAUAUCACGAGGAACUCCGAUUGCGCAGGCAGCUUACUAAACUACUACUGACGCUCAGGCACGAAGGCGUGGGGAUCAAACAGGAUUAGAUACCCUGGUAGUCCACGCAGUAAACGAUGAUUACUAGCUGUUUGCGAUACAAUGUAAGCGGCUGAGCGAAAGCGUUAAGUAAUCCACCUGGGGAGUACGUUCGCAAGAAUGAAACUCAAAUGAAUUGACGGGG
rnacentral:rRNA from 1 species